rnacentral:rRNA from 1 species
GGGUGUGACAAAGCGUGCUUGGGCGAGAGUAGUACUAGGAUGGGUGACCCCCUGGGAAGUCCUCGUGUUGCAACCC